GGUGUGUAGGUGAAGUCCCUGCGGAUGGAGCUGAGACCAGUCGAAGAUACCAGCUGGCUGCAACUGUUUAUUAAAAACACAGCACUGUGCAAACACGAAAGUGGACGUAUACGGUGUGACGCCUGCCCGGUGCCGGAAGGUUAAUUGAUGGGGUUAUCCGUAAGGAGAAGCUCUUGAUCGAAGCCCCGGUAAACGGCGGCCGUAACUAUAACGGUCCUAAGGUAGCGAAAUUCCUUGUCGGGUAAGUUCCGACCUGCACGAAUGGCGUAAUGAUGGCCAGGCUGUCUCCACCCGAGACUCAGUGAAAUUGAACUCGCUGUGAAGAUGCAGUGUACCCGCGGCAAGACGGAAAGACCCCGUGAACCUUUACUAUAGCUUGACACUGAACAUUGAGCCUUGAUGUGUAGGAUAGGUGGGAGGCUUUGAAGCGUGGACGCCAGUCUGCGUGGAGCCAACCUUGAAAUACCACCCUUUAAUGUUUGAUGUUCUAACGUUGGCCCCUGACCGGGGUUGCGGACAGUGUCUGGUGGGUAGUUUGACUGGGGCGGUCUCCUCCCAAAGCGUAACGGAGGAGCACGAAGGUUAGCUAAUCCUGGUCGGACAUCAGGAGGUUAGUGCAAUGGCAUAAGCUAGCUUGACUGCGAGCGUGACGGCGCGAGCAGGUGCGAAAGCAGGUCAUAGUGAUCCGGUGGUUCUGAAUGGAAGGGCCAUCGCUCAACGGAUAAAAGGUACUCCGGGGAUAACAGGCUGAUACCGCCCAAGAGUUCAUAUCGACGGCGGUGUUUGGCACCUCGAUGUCGGCUCAUCACAUCCUGGGGCUGAAGUAGGUCCCAAGGGUAUGGCUGUUCGCCAUUUAAAGUGGUACGCGAGCUGGGUUUAGAACGUCGUGAGACAGUUCGGUCCCUAUCUGCCGUGGGCGCUGGAGAAUUGAGGGGGGCUGCUCCUAGUACGAGAGGACCGGAGUGGACGCAUCACUGGUGUUCGGGUUGUCAUGCCAAUGGCACUGCCCGGUAGCUAAAUGCGGAAGAGAUAAGUGCUGAAAGCAUCUAAGCACGAAACUUGCCCCGAGAUGAGUUCUCCCUGAGACUAUAAGUCUCCUGAAGGAACGUUAAAGACGAUGACGUUGAUAGGCCGGGUGUGUAAGCGCAGCGAUGCGUUGAGCUAACCGGUACUAAUGAACCGUGAGGCUUAACCUU
rnacentral:rRNA from 1 species